rnacentral:rRNA from 1 species
CAAAUGACAUAAAGCGUAGGGCGGAUACCUAGGCACCUAGAGACGAUGAAGGGCGUGGAACCGACGAUACGCUUCGGGGAGUUGGAAACAAACAUUGAUCCGAAGAUUCCCGAAUGGGGCAACCCUAUAAACUUCUUACUGAAUUCAUAGGUAAGAAAGAGAAAACUUAGUGAACUGAAACAUCUUAGUAGCUAAAGGAAGAGAAAGCAAACGCGAUUCCCUGAGUAGUGGCGAGCGAAAUGGGAACAGCCUAAACCAAUAUUUUUAUAUUGGGGUUGUGGGAAAACAUACUAUAUUUAUAUAUAUUUGAAAUUAUUUAGACGAAAUAGCUGAAUCCUAUACCAAAGAAGGUAAAAGUCCUGUAGUUAAAAAAUAAUAAAAAAUAUGAACAUAUGUUCAAUAUGUUUAUCCCGAGUAGCAUGGGACACGAGAAAUCCCGUGUGAAUCAACGAGGACCACCUCGUAAGGCUAAAUACUCCUAGGUGACCGAUAGUGAAGUAGUACCGUGAGGGAAAGAUGAAAAGAACCCCUGUAGGGGAGUGAAAUAGAACAUGAAACCCUACGCUGACAAACAGUGGGAGGUACUUUAGUACUGACCGCGUACCUGUUGAAGAAUGGGCCGGCGACUUAGAAAAAGUGGCAAGGUUAAAGACUAAAAUCUGGAGCCUAAGCGAAAGCAAGUCUGAAUAGGGCAUUAUAAAGUCACUUUUUCUAGACCCGAACCCGGGUGAUCUAACCAUGACCAGGAUGAAGCUUGGGUAAUACCACGUGAAGGUCCGAACCGACCGAUGUUGAAAAAUCGGCGGAUGAGUUGUGGUUAGCGGUGAAAUACCAGUCGAACUCGGAGCUAGCUGGUUCUCCCCGAAAUGCGUUGAGGCGCAGCGGUCAGCAAGACUAUCUAGGGGUAAAGCACUGUUUCGGUGCGGGCGGCGAAAGCUGUACCAAAUCGUGGCAAACUCUGAAUACUAGAUAUGUUAUUUUCUGGCCAGUGAGACAGUGGGGGAUAAGCUUCAUUGUCAAGAGGGAAACAGCCCAGAUCACUAGCUAAGGCCCCUAAAUGAUCGUUAAGUGGCAAAGGAGGUGAGAAUGCUCAGACAACCAGAAGGUUUGCUUAGAAGCAGCAACCCUUUAAAGAGUGCGUAACAGCUCACUGGUUAAGCGUUCUUGCGCCGAAAAUGUCCGGGACUAAAUGAUCUGCCGAAGCUGUGGGAUAUUCUAAUGAAUAUCGGUAGGGGAGCGUUCUGCUCUAGGGUGAAGCAAAUAUGUAAGUAUUUGUGGACGAAGCAGAAGUGAGAAUGUCGGCUUGAGUAACGUAAACAUUGGUGAGAAUCCAAUGCCCCGAAAACCUAAGGAUUCCUCCACUAGGUUCGUCCAUGGAGGGUGAGUCAGGACCUAAGGCGAGGCUGAAAAGCGUAGUCGAUGGCAAACAGGUUAAUAUUCCUGUACUAUUUUAUAUUUGAUACCAAGGGACGAAGCAGGUAGAGAUUUGCUGUUAUUGGAUUUCAGUGUAAGUUAUCAAGGCGUUGAAAGGUAGAAGAAAAACUAUCCUUGAGCUAAGAAAUGAUGCGUAUUUACUUUAAAAGUAAAUAUUUAUUAUCUAUCAUACUUCCAAGAAAAGCUUGAACUAUCGUUAAGUAUAAAAUACCUGUACCGUAAACCGACACAGGUAGGUUAGUAGAGUAUACUAAGGGGCGCGAGAUAACUCUCUCUAAGGAACUCGGCAAAAUGACCCCGUAACUUCGGGAGAAGGGGUGCCCUCUCUAAAAGAGGGCCGCAGUGACCAGGCCCAGGCGACUGUUUAUCAAAAACAUAGGUCUCCGCAAAGUCGUAAGACAACAUAUGGGGGCUGACGCCUGCCCAGUGCCGGAAGGUUAAGGAAGUAGGUUAGGAUUUAUCCGAAGCUUACGACUGAAGCCCCGGUGAACGGCGGCCGUAACUAUAACGGUCCUAAGGUAGCGAAAUUCCUUGUCGGGUAAGUUCCGACCCGCACGAAAGGCGUAACGAUCUGGGCACUGUCUCGGAGAGAGACUCGGUGAAAUAGACAUGUCUGUGAAGAUGCGGACUACCUACACUUGGACAGAAAGACCCUAUGAAGCUUGACUGUAGCUUGGAAUUGGGUUCGGGCUUUUUUUGCGCAGACUAGGUGGGAGGCUAUGAAGAAAUAUUUUUGGGUAUUUUGGAGCCAUCAGUGAGAGACCACUCUGAAGAAGCUAGAAUUCUAAUGGCGUUCCUUGAAGCAGGACGCUUGACAGUUUCAGGUGGGCAGUUUGACUGGGGCGGUCACCUCCUAAAAGGUAACGGAGGUGUGCAAAGGUUCCCUCAGGCUGGACGGAAAUCAGCCGUAGAGUGUAAAGGCAAAAGGGAGCUUGACUGCAAGACCUACAAGUCGAGCAGGGGCGAAAGCCGGCCUUAGUGAUCCGACGGUUCCGUGUGGAAGGGCCGUCGCUAAACGGAUAAAAGUUACUCUAGGGAUAACAGGCUGAUCUUCCCCAAGAGUUCACAUCGACGGGAAGGUUUGGCACCUCGAUGUCGGCUCAUCGCAACCUGGGGCGGUAGUACGUCCCAAGGGUUGGGCUGUUCGCCCAUGAAAGCGGUACGUGAGCUGGGUUCAGAACGUCGUGAGACAGUUCGGUCCAUAUCCGGUGUAGGCGCUGGAGCAUUGAGAGGAGUCUUCCAUAGUACGAGAGGACCUGGAAGAACACACCUCUGGUAUACCAGUUCUCACGCCAGUGGGAAACGCUGGGUAGCCAAGUGUGGAGUGGAUAACCGCUGAAAGCAUCUAAGUGGGAAGCCCACCUCAAGAUGAGUGCUCCCUAUGAGGUCACGGCAAGACUAGCCGGUUGAUAGGCAGUAGGUGUAAGUCUAGCAAUAGAUGUAGCUGAGCUGUACUAAUAGACCCAUUGAUUU